UGUAGCUCAGUUGGUUAGAGCGUCCGGCUGAUAACCGGGAGGUCACAAGUUCGAAUCUUGNAGGGAUAU
rnacentral:tRNA from 1 species